rnacentral:rRNA from 1 species
CCUACGGGUGGCUGCAGUGGGGAAUAUUGCACAAUGGGGGAAACCCUGAUGCAGCGACGCCGCGUGAGUGAAGAAGUAUUUCGGUAUGUAAAGCUCUAUCAGCAGGGAAGAAAAUGACGGUACCUGUAUAAUAAGCCCCGGCUAACUACGUGCCAGCAGCCGCGGUAAUACGUAGGGGGCAAGCGUUAUCCGGAUGUACUGGGUGUAAAGGGAGCGUAGGCGGCAGCGCAAGUCUGAAGUGAAAUGCCGGGGCUUAACCCCGGAACUGCUUUGGAAACUGGUCAGCUAGAGUGCAGGAGAGGUAAGUAGAAUUCCUAGUGUAGCGGUGAAAUGCGUAGAUAUUAGGAGGAACACCAGUGGCGAAGGCGGCUUACUGGAC